AAACAAAGAAAAAGAGCUAUUUGCUACCGUUCUUGCCAAAGUGGUAGCAUACCAAUGUGUUUAUAUUCACAAGUCAUGCCUAUGGUCCAAAUUAACAUAGAAAAUCAAUCGACUACGAAGAUUUAUAAAUUAUUUUCUGUAGCAAUACUCACUUAUACAGAGAAACAAACACGAAAUUUAGAGAUGGAGAACGAGAAGCAAAAGAAAAAUAUAACACAUUACUAAAUUUUCCUAAAUAAAUAACUUCUUAAAAAUAAAAAGAUAUCACAUUUCCAACCACCAACCAA
rnacentral:lncRNA from 1 species